rnacentral:miRNA from 10 species
AAUAAGUAUUUAGUUUGGUGGAAAAGUAAUUGUGGUUUUUGCUAUUAAAAGCAAUAGUUACUAAGCACCUCCUGUGUGCUGUGGUGCCAUCCUA